rnacentral:rRNA from 1 species
AUGGAGGAAUUGAAGGCCUGCAUGCCACUGGUGGCCUCGGAAUGGUUGCUACUUGGUGAUUUCAACAUGAUUUACCAAGUUUCCGACAAGAGCAAUGACAAUAUUAAUCUCCAGACAAUGGGGCGCUUCAGAAAACUUAUAGACGACCUCAAGCUCAGGGAGUUUGUUCUUUCUGGCAGGCUUUUCACUUGGUCAAAUGAAAGGGAAAAUACGGUUCACACCAAAAUUGACAGGGUAUUCUGCUCCAAGGAUUGGGAGCUCCGUUACCCCCACUGCCACUUGACCCCCAUAUCGACUAGCAUCUCUGAUCACUGCCCAAUGAUCUUAAAGAAUCUCGAGAGGAAGCAUUUCCGUGGGUUCAGAUUUGAGGCCACCUGGUUGCAUUUCCAAGGUUUUCAUCAAGUGGUUGCCAAUGCCUGGACCAAACAGAUUCAUUCCAACAACCCCAUCAAGCGUCUGCACAUUAAGCUUUCCAGGGUGGCAAAAGCCCUGAAGUGUUGGGCAAAGCAGGGGCGUCUCAAUCACAGAUUUAAUGAGCUUUUGGCAAACGAAUUGAUCUUUCAACUGGACCUUGCACAAGAAGAAAGACAACUCUCCCCUGAUGAGAGAAGCUUCAGAGUCUCUCUAAAGAACAAGCUUCUAGGCUAUGCGGCUCUUGACAGGAUUAGGUGGAGACAAAGAUCCAGGUUCACGAAGAUCAAAUAUGGGGAUGCCAACACCAAUUUUUUUCAUCUUCACGCCAAUGGGAGAAGGAGGAGAAAUUUCAUCUCGUCUCUCACUAAUAACUUGGGAGAGGCUGUAACAGAGCACUCUUCUAAGGAGAAUCUGCUCUUUGAUUAUUUCGACGGGAUACUGGGCUCCUCUCCCCCCCGAUCCGUCACUUUCAACUGGAAUGCUUUGGGUCUGCCCUCCAGGGAUCUCUCUCAUAUGGAUGCGCCGGCCUCGAUGGAAGAAUUAAGAUCGGCAGUAAGUGAGCUACACAGCGAGAAAGCGCUUGGCCCGGAUGGUUUUAUUGGUGGCUUCUAUUUGGCUUGCUGGGACACAGUGAAACACGAUUUGCUGGCAGCUAUUAACCAAAUGUUACUGCUCAGAGGCGAUUGCUGGUCCUUGCUAAAUAGUGCUCACAUUGCCCUAAUCCCAAAGUCCUAUGCUGCUGCCUCUCCCAAGGACUUCCGGCCUAUCAGCUUGAUGCACAAUUUUGCCAAGAUUCUGGGAAAGCUUCUCGCCUCACGUUUAGCGGUGGACCUUCCACAUCUGAUCUCUGCCUCACAGAGUGCUUUCAUUAAGAGAAGAUCGAUCCAUGAUAACUUCCUGUUUGUCCGGAACUCAAUAAAGAAUGCCCACAUGACAAAGAAGACACUAUUGUUCCUGAAGCUCGACUUUGCAAAAGCUUUCGACUCUGUUCACUGGAACUACCUCUUUGAGGUUCAGAGGGCUUUUGGAUUCACCUCCAGGUGGUGUGACCUCAUGGCCAUUAUUUUGGGUUCCUCUUCCUCCAGGAUCUUGCUCAAUGGUCUGCCAAGAAAAAAGAUAGUUCGUAAGAAAGGACUGCGCCAGGGCGACCCGCUUGCACCCAUGCUUUUUAUUCUCGCCCUUGAGCCGCUUCAGAGGCUGUUUGCGUUGGCCACAGAUCAAGGCCUCCUCUCUAAUGUGUUCCAUCAGGCUGCUAGGAUGAGCACCAGCCUCUAUGCUGAUGAUGCCGCCCUCUUCCUCAACCCUGUCGCGAGCGAGAUGCAAGCUGUUGUGGGUCUCCUAAACCUUUUUGGGCAGGUCACUGGAUUAAGGGUGAACUUGGACAAAUGGGUUGCCUUUCCGAUCAGGUGUGACAACCUUCCUAUCCAGGAAAUCUUGGCCCCUUUUGGUGGGACUCUUGGCUCCUUCCCGUGCAAAUACCUAGGCCUGCCUCUUACCUUUAAAGGCCUGAGAAGAAUUGAUUGGCAACCGCUCUUGGAUAGAUUUGGCUCCAGACUAAAACCAUGGAAAGGCAAGCUCAUGUCUAGGAUGGGGAGACUAGAGUUGGUCAACGCCGUCCUAACCGCCCUCACUACAUACCUUCUCACCAUUUUUCCCCCUCCCAAAUGGUUGCUCAAGAAAAUAGACAGGAUCCGCAGGAGCUUUCUGUGGUGCGGGGAGGAGGAGGCCUCUGGGAGCAAGUGCCUUGUCAACUGGACAAAAGUCUGCUCCCCUAAGGCUUACGGUGGUUUGGGGAUCAAAGAUCUGGAUAAGCACAGCAGAGCCAUGCGGCUGCAAUGGUUGUGGCACGAAUGGGAUGUGGAUCCUCGUCCCUGGAAGGGGCUGCAAGUACCAUGUGAUGCGACCGAUCGAAGCCUUUUUGCUGCCUGCACCAAGCUGGCCCUGGGCAAUGGUGGAAAAAUUUCGUUCUCGGAGGAUAAAUGGCUGCUGGACUGCUCGCUCAAGGUGUUUGCUCCGGGGCUGUUCAAGCUAUCCUACCGAAAAAAGAUUUGUGUGAGGGAGGGUCUCCAAAACAAUAGCUGGGUGAGGGGGCUCCAGAGAAUUUCAACGGAAUUGCAACUUGACCUUCUCAUCUCCAUCUGGGAAAGAGUGCAAUCUGUCACACUCACACAGCUCGAGGAUAAGAUAACCUGGACCUUAACUGCCAACUCUAUCUACUCAGCCAGCUCUGCUUAUGAAGCUCAAUACCAUGGCCGGAUUUUGAACCCUCGUCUGCACAAGGUCUGGGAUGCCAAAGCGGAGGGCAAGAUAAAAUUCUUCAUUUGGCUAAUUUUGCAAAACAGAGUAUGGACAGCUGACCGCCUUGUUGUGCGAGGCUGGCCUCAUGAUGACCUUUGUUGCCUUUGUGAUCAAGAGAUGGAAUCCAUUAAUCAUCUACUGCUAAAGUGCCCUUUCGCCAAGGAAGUAUGGUUUGCCUUCUCCUCCUCGCAUCCUUCGACCACAACAACUGCCUUGGGCUCUACCUCUAUCUCUGGAUGGUGGAGGAAGAUUUCUAGGUACAGCAAGAAAAAGGAAGAGACUGCAAACAUCACAAUGGCUAUAUACACGGUUUGGCAUCUCUGGAAGGAGAGGAACAGCAGGAUUUUUGAGGGAAAGAACGCUACUGUGAGCACUGUGGUCUCUCUUAUCCGUGACGACCUGCUUUUUGUAGGUCCUUUCUUUUGCGAGUAG